GGUCUCACACGGGAUAGGCAAUCACUUGACUACUGACUGUGUCCCCAGCCAUUUGGUUUUUUGUUUUGUUUUGUUGUUGUUGGUGGUGUUUUGCUUGUUUGUUUGUUUGUUUGUUUGAGGCAGGGUCUUUUUAAGUUAUCUUUGCUACAGCCUAAUUUGCAGCUUCAACCUACCAAUUUGUGCCCAGGAACGAGGACCAGGACUGAGGAUGCCCUCUUUCUGCACAAUGCCUGCACAUGCAGAGUCUCUGCAUUUUGACACCCACAAGCUCCGCAGCUUCCCUCUCCUACUGUGACUCAUCAGCAUUCUCCUUUCCAGUGUUUUGGAGUGGGUGUUGAUGGAGGGGAACGUGGAUUUCCAGAUAGCAUCUCAUGCAGCCCAGCCUGGUCUUGAACUCAUUGUGAAGCCAAGGAAGGCCAUGAACUCCUGAUUUCCUCUUCUACCUUCCAAGUGUGGAGAUUACAGACACACACACCUUUAAUUACAGAACUUGGGAGACAGAUUCGAGUGGAUCUCUGUGAGUUCAAGGCCAGCUUGGUCUGUAUUGCAAGUUCCCAGGCCAAGUAGGGCUACAUAAUGAGAUCCUGGCAAAAAGAAAAGAAAAGUAAGAAGGAAGAGGAGGAGAAGAAGAAAAAGAAGAAGGAAAAAGAAAAGGAGGAGAUGGGGAUAAAGGAGAAGAAGGAGAAGAAGAAGGAGGAGAAAGAAGAGGAGGAGGAAGAGGAAGAAGAGGAGGAGGAGGAGGAGGAGGAGGAAGAAGAAGAAGAAGAAGAAGAAGAAGAAGAAGAAGAAGAAGAAGAAGAAGAAGAAGAAGAAGAAGAAGAAAGCAAGAGCAAGCUCCCUCCACUGCUUUGUGUUUUAAGAGAGAAUGACUGUUCAGUGUCCCUGGAAACUCACCAGAAAGCGAAUCAUUGUGAAGCAGCUCAUGUCUUCUCCAUAAAAAUAACGCUGCCUGCUGUUGAGACUGCCUUCUAGAGGAAGAAUUGGCAUGAGAAGCCAGGCGUGACUGGCGAUGGCACAGGAGCAAAGAACUAUAAACCUUUAUCGUCACUUCAUAUAAUAAACGUAUAAUAUAAUAAACUUAAUAUAAUAAACGUGCGCUCUGAUACCUUUUCAAAUGCCCAGAAAUGGAGAGCGCACCCUGAUUACACAGAAGGCCAUAAAAUGAACAUGCUGCACAUAAAAAAAUUAUACCGUUGUAUAAAUUUUCCUGAAGACUGAUGUAUUAUUUAUGAUAAGCAUUAAUUAAAAGAUUAAUUGCUAAUGUUCUCUGCCCUUGUAGAAGUUAGCAGAAAAAUUAAAGUAGCUUAAAUAUAUUUGGAGAUAA
ensembl:lincRNA Gm6117 predicted gene 6117